CACGCACAAACCUCGCGCCUCUUUACUUCGUGCUUGACGAAACCCUCGCACUGUGUUGGUACUCGUUCCUCUUCAGAAUCUCAUUAUUCCUUUUACAAUUACCAUGGAUGUAUUUGCAGGUAUGCAAAUUUCGAAGACAACUAUCAGCCCAAGACUGAUUUGCUCAAAGCAGUUGCGAUAUUUGCGGCGGCUGCAACUGGGACGGUAGCAAUUAACCAUUCUUGGGUGGCUGCUAAUCAGGUUCCAAAUUCAUUAAUUUCCCUUGUGACAGUGAUAUUGAGAAAAGGUGAGGAUGAUAUAACUCAGUUGUAUGCAUUGAGAACAGUUGAGAAUAUUUGCAGCCAAGGAGGGGUAUGGGUUUCGUGUUCCACAUUUGUUCUGGAUUAGACUCUGAAGUUUGAUUCUUUGGUCAAGCUUCAUAUGUGGAUUUGCUGGCUUAGAGAUUUGAAUUUGGACGGUUAUAGGGAAAGACAAAUUUGUUGAUUAUAGGGUGAGAUAAUUGUAUCUGUGACAAAUAUUGAGCGGAAAAGGAUGAUAAGAAUUUAGGGAAUGCCAACGGGAAUCAUAGGAUGAUUCCUAACUUCUGCUAGUUAGUCAAGCGAUCAGUUAGUUACAUUUACUAACACCCUGUAGGCAAAGACAAAUUUGUUGAUUAUAGGGUGAGGUAAUUGGAUCUGUGACAAAUAUUGAGCAGAAAAGGAUGAUAAGGAUUUAGUGAAUGCCAACGGGAAUCGUAGGAUGAUUCAUAACUUCUGCUAGUUAGUAAAGCGGUCAGUUAGUUACAUUUACUAACACCCUGUUACAACAUUGCUAUGUGUAGUUAAGUUUGUAUCCAUGUUCCUUUGCUGCCUUUUAUAUAGGAUAUAAAAUAGACUUUUGUAAAAGAAAUCAUUCUGCUAAUUAGUUCUUUUACAAAUCUCAAUAUGAAAACCAGGAGCCAAGUUUGUGUCAAUGUAUUUGUGCUCAUAGGUUUAAAUGGAAACCAGGAGCAACUCAUCUGAAUAUAUUGGUAAUAGGUUAUGAACCACUGCUUUUUUGGUUAGAUAUUCUGGAAUGGGAGAAACUGAUGCAAUUGAAAAGGGGGAAAAGAAAAGAACGUGAAUUGCUUAAUUUCUUAAGGAGUGGCAAUAACCUUGCAUGAUUAAAUAAUUUUGGUGACUCUGGAUAAUGGAAAUUACCCAAUCUUCUUAUUCCAACACUUCAAUGAAACUAAAUUGUGUUUAUUGGA